UAUGGUCUUCGGGGCAGGGUGCAAUUCCCUACCGGCGGUUACAGUCCGCGAGCGCAAGCAGAGCCCGGUGAAAUUCCGGCACCGACAGUAUAGUCUGGAUGGAAGAAGGCAUGU
rnacentral:ncRNA from 2 species